rnacentral:rRNA from 1 species
ACAACGUUUCGAAAGGAACGCUAAUACCGCAUACGUCCCUACGGGAGAAAGCAGGGGACCUUCGGGCCUUGCGCUAUCAGAUGAGCCUAGGUCGGAUUAGCUAGUUGGUGAGGUAAUGGCUCACCAAGGCGACGAUCCGUAACUGGUCUGAGAGGAUGAUCAGUCACACUGGAACUGAGACACGGUCCAGACUCCUACGGGAGGCAGCAGUGGGGAAUAUUGGACAAUGGGCGAAAGCCUGAUCCAGCCAUGCCGCGUGUGUGAAGAAGGUCUUCGGAUUGUAAAGCACUUUAAGUUGGGAGGAAGGGCAGUAAAUUAAUACUUUGCUGUUUUGACGUUACCGACAGAAUAAGCACCGGCUAACUCUGUGCCAGCAGCCGCGGUAAUACAGAGGGUGCAAGCGUUAAUCGGAAUUACUGGGCGUAAAGCGCGCGUAGGUGGUUCGUUAAGUUGGAUGUGAAAUCCCCGGGCUCAACCUGGGAACUGCAUUCAAAACUGUCGAGCUAGAGUAUGGUAGAGGGUGGUGGAAUUUCCUGUGUAGCGGUGAAAUGCGUAGAUAUAGGAAGGAACACCAGUGGCGAAGGCGACCACCUGGACUGAUACUGACACUGAGGUGCGAAAGCGUGGGGAGCAAACAGGAUUA